CAUCCUCAAACCUUCUUGGUUUCUUGACCAUGGAAGGCUUUGGACCUUGGAGGUUUUUGCUGGCUUUCCUUUGUUGGAGCCAGCUCCUCUGAAAUGAAUUAGUGGGGUCUGCUUUGCCGAUCCUUGACGUGAUAAGAUAUUUUCUACGUCUUGGGUUUUGCACUCCUGCUUCUAACCGUCUCACAGAAGACAAACGGUCAAGUGAUCGCCACUUUGACCCAUGAA
rnacentral:misc_RNA from 2 species